rnacentral:rRNA from 1 species
AGAGUUUGAUCAUGGCUCAGGAUGAACGCUAGCGGGAGGCUUAACACAUGCAAGUCGAGGGGCAGCACGGGGUAGCAAUACUCUGGUGGCGACCGGCGCACGGGUGAGUAACACGUAUGCAACCUACCCUGUACAGGGGGAUAACCCGGAGAAAUUCGGACUAAUAUCCCAUGAUGAUAUUUAGGGGCAUCCUUAGAUAUUUAAAGCUCCGGCGGUACGGGAUGGGCAUGCGGAACAUUAGCUAGUUGGCAGGGUAACGGCCUACCAAGGCAACGAUGUUUAGGGGACCUGAGAGGGUGAUCCCCCACACUGGUACUGAGACACGGACCAGACUCCUACGGGAGGCAGCAGUGAGGAAUAUUGGUCAAUGGGCGCAAGCCUGAACCAGCCAUCCCGCGUGCAGGAAGACGGCCCUAUGGGUUGUAAACUGCUUUUCCGGGGGGAGAAUUUUUCCGUCGUGACGGGAAUUGACGGUACCCCGGGAAUAAGCAUCGGCUAACUCCGUGCCAGCAGCCGCGGUAAUACGGAGGAUGCGAGCGUUACCCGGAUUUAUUGGGUUUAAAGGGUGCGUAGGCGGAAUGAUAAGUCAGUGGUGAAAACCUGCAGCUUAACUGUAGACUUGCCGUUGAUACUGUCAGUCUUGAGUGUGGUCAAGGUAGGCGGAAUGUGUAAUGUAGCGGUGAAAUGCUUAGAUAUUACACAGAACACCGAUUGCGAAGGCAGCUUACUGGGCCAUUACUGACGCUGAUGCACGAAAGCGUGGGGAUCGAACAGGAUUAGAUACCCUGGUAGUCCACGCCGUAAACGAUGAUCACUCGCUGUUAGCGAUACACAGUUAGCGGCUAAGCAAAAGCAUUAAGUGAUCCACCUGGGGAGUACGGCCGCAAGGCUGAAACUCAAUGAAUUGACGG